AGAGUGAACGCUGGCGGUAGGCCUAACACAUGCAAGUCGAACGGCAGCACAGUGGUAGCAAUACCAUGGGUGGCGAGUGGCGGACGGGUGAGGAAUACAUCGGAAUCUACCUUUUCGUGGGGGAUAACGUAGGGAAACUUACGCUAAUACCGCAUACGCCCUUCGGGGGAAAGCCGGGGAUCGCAAGACCUGGCGCGGAUAGAUGAGCCGAUGUCGGAUUAGCUAGUUGGUGAGGUAAUGGCUCACCAAGGCGACGAUCCGUAGCUGGUCUGAGAGGAUGAUCAGCCACACUGGAACUGAGACACGGUCCAGACUCCUACGGGAGCAGCAGUGGGGAAUAGUUGGACAA
rnacentral:rRNA from 1 species